GGCACCUGCGCCGUGAGGGGGGCGGUGCCUCAGCGCGGGAAACCCGCCAAAAACAAAUAAUGGAGAAAAAACCCCACUUUUGUGUGGUGAUUGUAGAGUUCCGGUGGAAAAUAAGUAAUGGUCUGAGGAAAACCCCCACUUUUGUGUGGCGAUUAUGGAGCUCCGAUGGAAAAUAAAUAAUGUUCUGAGGAAAACCCCCACUUUUGUGUGGCGAUUGUGGAAUUCCGCGGAAGUGUCUGAAGCAGAAUAUCGUGGAAUUAUGGAAGAGUCGGCGCUGGAAAAGGAUUUUAAAGGUGAGCAAAGCCAAAUUCCCAGAGUUUGAAGGGAUGAGCAGGAGUGAUACAAUCCAAACUGACCCAGCCACCCACA